rnacentral:rRNA from 1 species
GUGGGGGAUAUUGCACAAUGGGGGAAACCCUAAUGCAGCAACGCCGCGUGAGGGAAGAAGGUUUUCGGAUUGUAAACCUCUGUCCUUGGUGAAGAUAAUGACGGUAGCCAAGGAGGAAGCUCCGGCUAACUACGUGCCAGCAGCCGCGAUAAUACGUAGGGAGCGAGCGUUGUCCGGAAUUACUGGGUGUAAAGGGUGCGUAGGCGGCUACGCAAGUCAGGUGUGAAAUAUAUGGGCUCAACCCAUAGACUGCACUUGAAACUGCGUAGCUUGAGUGAAGUAGAGGUAGGCGGAAUUCCCGGUGUAGCGGUGAAAUGCGUAGAGAUCGGGAGGAACACCAGUGGCGAAGGCGGCUUGCUGGACAGAUACUGACGCUGAGGUGCGAAAGCGUGGGGAGCGAACAGGAUUAGAUACCCCGGUAGUCC